CUCCUACGGGGGGCAGCAGUGAGGAAUAUUGGUCAAUGGGCUUACGCCUGAACCAGCCAAGUCGCGUGAGGGAAGACUGCCCUAUGGGUUGUAAACCUCUUUUGUCAGGGAGCAACGCCGGCUACGUGUAGCCGGACUGAGAGUACCUGAAGAAAAAGCAUCGGCUAACUCCGUGCCAGCAGCCGCGGUAAUACGGAAGGUCCGGGCGUUAUCCGGAUUUAUUGGGUUUAAAGGGAGCGUAGGCCGGUCUUUAAGCGUGCCGUGAAAUUUUGUGGCUCAACCAUGAGAGUGCGGCGCGAACUGGA
rnacentral:rRNA from 1 species